rnacentral:rRNA from 1 species
UACGGAGGGGGCAAGCGUUGUUCGGAUUUAUUGGGUGUAAAGGGAGCGUAGGCCGCACGGCAAGUCAGAUGUGAAAGCUAUGAGCUCAACUCAUAAACUGCAUUUGAUACUGCCGAGCUAGAGUACUAAAGAGGCGUGUGGAAUUCUUGGUGUAAGGGUGAAAUCUGCAGAUAUCAAGAAGAACACCAGUGGCGAAGGCGACACGCUGGGUAGAUACUGACGCUGAGGUGCGAAAGUGUGGGGAGCAAACAGG